rnacentral:rRNA from 1 species
AUUAAUAAGCGGAGGAAAAGAAACUAACCAGGAUUCCCUCAGUAACGGCGAGUGAAGCGGGAAGAGCCCAGCACCGAAUCGCACGUCAUACAGACGUCGUGAACUGUGGUGUUUAGGACUAGCGCAUGUGCGUCGGUCUGGCGUCCGAGUCCUCCUGAUCGGGGCUUUGCCAGAGCGGGUGUCAGCCCUCUACGGCGCCGGAUUGACGUGCCCGCCACGUCCUCUGAGUCGGGUUGUUUGAUAAUGCAGCCCAAAGUGGGUGGUAAACUCCAUCUAAGGCUAAAUACGGACACGAGUCCGAUAGCGAACAAGUACCGUGAGGGAAAGUU